GACAGUUUUUCCGAGUGGUCUAAGGCACCAGAUUUAGGCUCUGGUCCAAAAGGGCAUGGGUUCAAAUUCCACAGUUGUCA
rnacentral:tRNA from 1 species